AGCCAAGAACCCUGGAACUUGUUAAAAUAAGAAGAAUCCUCAUCAUCAACGCAAGCGAAGGAAAUUCCUCACAGUAAAGAAAAAAAAGGUCACAUCAUGAAAGGACGGAUCAUUGACUGCUUGAAUAUAAUUUGUUUCUGGAUAAAAAAUGUGUGCAUUUGUUUUUCAAAGUGUCUAUUGAUUAAAUUCAGCCUCAAAACAGUUUUCAUUUUCAUAGGUGACGUUUAGGGGAACAAUAGCAUUUCUCAAAAAUCUUAAUUUCCUUGCGUGCCCGCUCAAAAGCGCAGGUUACCAUUCCCCCAGCCCUAAUGGAAUAAGUGGUUUUUUUCACUUUCUCAGUUUCUCCAAAUUGCCACCUCAGAAAAAGGGAAAACGUUUUAAAGAUACGAAACACAGCGUAAUGGCAUUUAGACUAAAUCGGAAAGUCCGCCCGGUCUUCUUUGCCCCGUGUUGGUGGAUAGAACUUGAGGGGGAGGAGAGAUCCGGGAUGAGGGGGCGGCCCUGUUUGUAAAGCUACGCCUCAUCGGCCGCCCAGCUCAGAGAGGCUUGAGAUCCCCCGGGCUUCCCAGCUGAACCCAGGCCCCCGGCGUGGCUCGCAGCGAGAAUGGAGAGACUGGUGUUCAGGAGGUCCUUCUGUCAUCUGUCUACCUACAGACUGGUUUGGUUCUUGGCAGCAAUGAUGCUAUGCAGGGCACAAGGUAAAAGAUACUCAGUUCCCCUGCUUGGAGUCCAGGGAAAACAGUUCCUGGAGUGGAGACCUGUGGCCACUGUUGCUUGCGCUGUGUUAGUGCAUUUAUCUGAUGAAUUAUUUAAAUAUGUAAUUUGCUUGAAGGAGUGCGAAUGGUUCUUUCUGCUUUCCACAUUUUUUGGUUUUCAAAGUGGAAGAAGAGUGACGUUUAGAAACUGUUUUGGUAGACAAAACCAGACAUGAAAAAAUUCUUUGGAAAUUAACAUAUCAUUUUUCACCUCUCAAAUUGAAUAACUUUUAAAAUAAUAAUUCCUUAUGCUUGUAAAGAUAUGGGAAUGCUUGGGGGAGGAAGAAUGAAUACAGCCUUUUUGGGAAAGUAAUCUGGCAGUAAGCCUUAAAAUAGGGUGUCCUCCUCUUUUACAGGAAAGUGUAGAAAAUAAUGAAAUAUAGAGGUCUCAUAGGUUCAUAAAGUCUAUUAUAUAAAGCAUGUACCUGUGCUGUCCACUUAUCUGUUGAAUUUCCCCGUUGUGCCAAACUUUUCUCCUCUGUUCCAUGGGAGGCCACCCCUCACUUGGCUGCCAGACUUCUGUCACCUUCUCUGUGCUGUUGGUCUGCAUCAGCCCUCACAGGGCAGGUUUCGCAUCAUCUACAAUCCAGGAUUUACCGACUGACUGGAACAAUCUAAGUGGAAUUCCAUAGAAACAUCAAAGAAUUGUAAACCUUCCCCUAAAUUAUUUCUUCCAUAGUCAAAGAGAUCAAUCACCCGAGAAGUUAAAACUCCAGCUUUGAUCUCUUUUUGACCCUCCAUUCUAAAAGCAGCAAUUCCUUCCACUCUCUGCUCUGCAUAAUCUCAACACACUUUUAGGGAACCCCACUCCUCACAACAGGUAUUGCCCCCAGAACUUUUCACAUCCACCCAGAGCACAGCUCGCUGAGACUGGACUCGGGCAAAGCUCCGGCGUUCCACUUUGCAUUUGUUGCUCUGCCCAUCUUUUCAUCCCCUGAUGAUGUUGAGGGGUUGCUGAGAGGAAAUAUUCAUGCUGCUGUCUUGUUUUCUAAUCACACAGCCAACAUUUUAUCUAUGUUAUCAGUCUUUAAAAGAGCAGAUUUGAUGUUUUCUAUUGUCUGCAUCUGUGUAUUAUUUCAUUAAUUUGUGCUUUUGUCUUUGUUAAUUCAGUCCUUUUAUUUUUGAGGGGCGGUGGGAUGUUUGGGUCUAUGUGUGUAUUCAUUUUUAAUCUCUCUUCUUUCCUAAUAAGUCAAGUUAAGAUUAAAUAUUUCCCUCUGAGAACUACUUUACCAAUUUCUACAGAUUUUAAUGUAUUAUAUUUUCAUUGUCAUUCAUGGUAAUUUAUAAUUCUUACUAUGAUUUCUGGUGUAAUCAGAGUUAAAAGAAGUAUGUAAACUUCUAAUUUUAACUUUGUGGAUGAUGUUCAAGGUCUUAGGGUAGCAGCUUUUUAUGUAUCCCAUCUCAAGUUCAAUUUUGGGGAAAUCGAAAAGAUUUCUACAUGUUAUUUGAAAAGAUUUUAUGUGCUUUUUUGGGAAAAAAUUUAGAAAUACAUACUUAUAUACACACCCAUACGUAAUUUAUAUAUAUUUGUUUUUCAAUCUUCUGUAUCUUUGUAUUUGACCUUUUCCCUUUACUUAUUUUUUUAAUAUGUUGGAAGCGAAAAUUCUGAAGGAACUAUGGAAAACUCUCCUAUAACGAUUGUGGAUUUAUAAGUUUUCUUUGUAGUUCUAUUAACUUUUUAUAUAUUUUGGAGUUAUGUUGUUAGAUGCGUGAAGGUUCAUGAUUGAUAUGUCUUGCUUUAGAUUGCUCCUUUUAUCAUUUUGAAAAAUACCUUUUUGUCCCUCACAGUAUUUUUGUCUUCCAUUCUCCCUUUUCUUUCCGUUUGAAAGUCUUAUUGGGCUGAUAUUGAAGCAUUCCAGCUCUUUGAAUUUUUCUUUAGUGCCUUCCGUAUCCCUUUGUGCUUCAUUCUGGAAAAAUUCUGUGACUUGGUCUUCCUACUUACUGAUUUACUCUUCAGUGACCCCCAUUCUGCUAAGCCAGCCCAUCUGUUCCAAUUUCUACUAUUUAUAAUGCUGGCUUCUUUUUAUGCUUACGAUAUCACAUUUAUUGAUGUCAAAGUGUUUCUUGAUUUAUGAUUCUUCAUUCAUUUGGUAUGAGUUCUUGAAUUUGUAGUUUGUUAUUCCUCUUUCAUUGUGUUAGCUUUCUCAAAUGUUGGCUAUUUGUUAUUAUAUUGAGAUUUCCCAUUGAAUCACCUGUCCUAUCAAUAUGAGUAGCCAGCAUUUGAGGGGGAAGAAGAUUUUGCCAUGCCUUAUAUUCUGCACUGCACUCAGUAAAAAUUGGAGGGAAUGUGUAGGUUGUCACUUGGUUGUCACAGCUCUCUGGUACUAUCUGCCUCCUGAACAUUGUCAUGUAUGUCUCUCUGCCUUAUAUUCCUAUAUUCACCACUGCCUCCUAGAGGCAGACGCUGCUCCUGCUGUCCCUUCCCUCACAGAGUGUGUGUGGAAUGUUUAGGGCUGCUCCAUCUUCUUCAUAAACUAAUCACUCUGCCUAUUGCCCAUCGGCCCUUUCCUGCUCCUGGCUUCCACCUCUCCGGGCAUGAACACACCUGGUGAUGCUUCUGUCCUUCCUGGCAGUUUUCAUCUUCAACCUCGUUCCACCUGCUUUCCAGCUUACAGGGAUUGGUUACGCAAUUUCUGGUCACUGAGAGUUUGCUGUCUUGUUUUCCUACUCUGCUACCCAUAAAGAUUGAAUAAACAUAUUUGAACUUACA
rnacentral:lncRNA from 1 species